rnacentral:rRNA from 1 species
AGUGAACGCUGGCGGUAGGCCUAACACAUGCAAGUCGAACGGCAGCACAGUAAGAGCUUGCUCUUACGGGUGGCGAGUGGCGGACGGGUGAGGAAUACAUCGGAAUCUACUUUUUCGUGGGGGAUAACGUAGGGAAACUUACGCUAAUACCGCAUACGACCUACGGGUGAAAGCAGGGGAUCUUCGGACCUCGCGCGAUUGUAGGAGCCGAUGUCGGAUUAGCUAGUUGGCGGGGUAAAGGCCCACCAAGGCGACGAUCCGUAGCUGGUCUGAGAGGAUGAUCAGCCACACUGGAACUGAGACACGGUCCAGACUCCUACGGGAGGCAGCAGUGGGGAAUAUUGGACAAUGGGCGCAAGCCUGAUCCAGCCAUACCGCGUGGGUGAAGAAGGCCUUCGGGUUGUAAAGCCCUUUUGUUGGGAAAGAAAAGCAGCAGGUUAAUACCCCGCUGUUCUGACGGUACCCAAAGAAUAAGCACCGGCUAACUUCGUG